rnacentral:tRNA from 4 species
GCGCGAAUGGCUCAGUGGUAGAGCAUCGCCUUGCCAAGGCGAGGGUCGCGAGUUCGAAUCUCGUUUCGCGCUUCA